AUUGAACGCUGGCGGCAGGCCUAACACAUGCAAGUCGAACGAGUGGCGGACGGGUGAGUAAUGUCUGGGAAACUGCCUGGUGGCGGGGGAUAACUACUGGAAACGGUAGCUAAUACCGCAUACCUUCCGAUGUGCCCAGAUGGGAUUAGCUAGUUGGUGGGGUAACGGCGCACCCAGGCGACGAUCCCUAGCUGGUCUGCAGGGAGGAACAGCCACACUGGAACUGAGACACGUUCCAGACUCCUACGGGAGGCAGCGGUGGGGAAUAUUGCACAAUGGGCACAAGCCUGAUGCAGCCAUGCCGCGUGUAUGAAGAAGGCCUUCGGGUUGUAAAGUACUUUCAGCGGGGAGGCGUUACCCGCAGAAGAAGCACCGGCUAACUCCGUGCCAGCAGCCGCGGUAAUUC
rnacentral:rRNA from 1 species